GACGAACGCUGGCGGCGUGCUUAACACAUGCAAGUCGAGCGGUAAGGCCCUUUCGGGGGUACACGAGCGGCGAACGGGUGAGUAACACGUGGGUGACCUGCCCUCAGCUCUGGGAUAAGCCCGGGAAACUGGGUCUAAUACCGGAUAUGACUCCAUGACGCAUGUUGUGGGGUGGAAAGCCUUGUGCGGCUAGGGAUGGGCCCGCGGCCUAUCAGCUUGUUGGUGGGGUGAUGGCCUACCAAGGCGACGACGGGUAGCCGGCCUGAGAGGGCGACCGGCCACACUGGGACUGAGACACGGCCCAGACUCCUACGGGAGGCAGCAGUGGGGAAUCUUGCGCAAUGGGCGAAAGCCUGACGCAGCGACGCCGCGUGAGGGAUGACGGCCUCGG
rnacentral:rRNA from 1 species